rnacentral:rRNA from 1 species
UACGGAGGGGGCUAGCGUUGUUCGGAAUUACUGGGCGUAAAGCGCACGUAGGCGGCUUUGCAAGUCAUAGGUGAAAGCCCGGGGCUCAACCCCGGAAUUGCCUUUGAGACUGCAUCGCUAGAAUUGUGGAGAGGUAAGUGGAAUUCCGAGUGUAGAGGUGAAAUUCGUAGAUAUUCGGAAGAACACCAGUGGCGAAGGCGACUUACUGGACACAUAUUGACGCUGAGGUGCGAAAGCGUGGGGAGCAAACAGG